rnacentral:misc_RNA from 1 species
CAGAGCAGCAGUGAUGAAGAAAAGCAUAUAUAUCCUACGAUGAGAAAUGAGAUUCAGGUGAAUGAUACCAAUGAAAAUGAUGAAGUUCUCAUUGAGUUAGAAGUAUAUCAAAGUGGUGGAUGGAAACUGGAAAGGAUUAGCUCUUUCAUGACAAAUGCUAAAGAUAAUUCUGCAAGAAAGACAACCCAGGAUUGUGAUUCAGAAGUUGUAGUGUAGGAAUGAGAUAUUGAAGAAAACAUGAGAGCAGGCGAUGACGGAAAGCAUAAUUUUGUGGCCAGAGGUGAAAAUGAGGAAUUUCACCAUAAGCACGAAGUGAAUUGUAAGAAGACACCAAAAGAGGUGGAUGAGAAUUGGG